UGGGGAAUAUUGCACAAUGGGCGCAAGCCUGAUGCAGCCAUGCCGCGUGUGUGAAGAAGGCCUUCGGGUUGUAAAGCACUUUCAGCGAGGAGGAAGGUGGUGAGCUUAAUACGCUCAUCAAUUGACGUUACUCGCAGAGGAAGCACCGGCUAACUCCGUGCCAGCAGCCGCGGUAAUACGGAGGGUGCAAGCGUUAAUCGGAAUUACUGGGCGUAAAGCGCACGCAGGCGGUUUGUUAAGUCAGAUGUGAAAUCCCCGGGCUCAACCUGGGAACUGCAUUUGAAACUGACAAGCUAGAGUCUCGUAGAGGGGGGUAGAAUUCCAGGUGUAGCGGUGAAAUGCGUAGAGAUCUGGAGGAAUACCGGUGGCGAAGGCGGCCCCCUGGA
rnacentral:rRNA from 1 species